GAACACGGAAAAUAUAACACGUGCAGGCGUUAACGGUUUCAGAAUAGAAUUAAGGUGGGAAAAACUACUCUCAGCGUGAUCAGUCAUCAGAAAUCCCUCUCUCCGUGUGUGUCAGUGUGUGAUGAUGGAGAGCAUCAGUGUGACGUGUGCAGAGGUUCAGAGCUCAGGCGGGUUUGAGCUGAGAGUUCCUGCUGACAGACUCACUCUCUUCAGUCAGUCUGACUGUGAACCGCUCUGGUACUCACAGGACGGGCGUCUGAUAGCAGAUCCAUCAGAUCCUCAGAAACUGAUUGAUCCUGUUAUUUCUGUCUCAUCUGAUCGUCUCGUCACUUCUUACUGUGUGGAUGAACUUCUUCAUGAGAUCCGCUGCGAUGCUUCAGGAUUCAGACUGGAGACCGUGUUCAGAGUGAGGAAUGAAACUCCAGUGACUCCAGAUGUUCUGAAUGAAGUGACUCCAGAUCUGCAGCUCUCAGAUCAGUGGUGGUGGACUUCUGCUCUUCUCAUCUGCAUUGUUCUUCUGGUUUUGAUCUGUUUCUUGCUGCGUAAACGAAUCUUCAGAUGUUUUCAGAGGGAAGAGCCGUCCAUCUCUCAGCGUGAAGCUCCAGACAGCAGGGAUCUGGAGAAGCUCAGAUCUGAUGAUCCUCAAACUCCACAGGAAUCGGUUCAGUGAAUCAACAUCACAGUUGUUGGGAUAUAGCUACGACUGAAACCCUAAAGUCACAAAAUGAUGCUAUAGUUAGGCACGUGCACAUUAAAGGGGGCUUGAGCACCUGCCCUUUUUCUUCCUCCAGAAAAAGUGGUUUACUGUUACCCAGUCACCCCCCAAUCUCUCUGUCCCACCACCACCACUAAAAAUAAAAAAUAAAACUUUUUAUUGCUGUUGGUUUAU
ensembl:lncRNA